rnacentral:rRNA from 1 species
ACUCCUACGGGAGGCAGCAGUGGGGAAUAUUGGACAAUGGGCGCAAGCCUGAUCCAGCCAUGCCGCGUGAGUGAUGAAGGCCCUAGGGUUGUAAAGCUCUUUCACCGGUGAAGAUAAUGACGGUAACCGGAGAAGAAGCCCCGGCUAACUUCGUGCCAGCAGCCGCGGUAAUACGAAGGGGGCUAGCGUUGUUCGGAUUUACUGGGCGUAAAGCGCACGUAGGCGGACUAUUAAGUCAGGGGUGAAAUCCCGGGGCUCAACCCCGGAACUGCCUUUGAUACUGGUAGUCUUGAGUUCGAGAAAGGUGAGUGGAAUUCCGAGUGUAGAGGUGAAAUUCGUAGAUAUUCGGAGGAACACCAGUGGCGAAGGCGGCUCACUGGCUCGAUACUGACGCUGAGGUGCGAAAGCGUGGGGAGCAAACAGGAUUAGAAACCCCAGUAGUCCCAUGAU